rnacentral:other from 1 species
CGUUGCCUGCGGUGUUCGAUACUGUAUCGGAAUUUUCUUGGCCUAUGCUUAACCCUGUUGGGUGCAUUACAUCGGUGUUGUGUGCAUGUCCGCGCUGCGGAAAGCCUGAUAUGCCGGUCGUUGUUCCCACUUUAUCGCUCCGGUCCCAAGAGCGACGAUGCAACCGGCACAUGUGGGUAACGU